UACAGAGGUCUCAAGCGUUGUUCGGAUUCAUUGGGCGUAAAGGGUGCGUAGGCGGCGCGGUAAGUCGGGUGUGAAAUCUCGGAGCUUAACUCCGAAACUGCAUUCGAUACUGCCGUGCUCGGGGACUGGAGAGGAGACUGGAAUUUACGGUGUAGCGGUGAAAUGCGUAGAUAUCGUAAGGAAGACCAGUGGCGAAGGCGGGUCUCUGGGCUGACACUGACGCUCAUGCACGAAAGCGUGGGGAGCAAACAGG
rnacentral:rRNA from 1 species